UACAGAGGUCUCAAGCGUUGUUCGGAUUCAUUGGGCGUAAAGGGUGCGUAGGUGGCGGGGUAAGUCAGGUGUGAAAUCUCGGGGCUCAACCCCGAAACUGCACUUGAUACUGCCUUGCUCGAGUACUGGAGAGGAGAUUGGAAUUUACGGUGUAGCAGUGAAAUGCGUAGAUAUCGUAAGGAAGACCAGUGGCGAAGGCGAAUCUCUGGACAGUUACUGACACUGAGGCACGAAAGCUAGGGGAGCAAACAGG
rnacentral:rRNA from 1 species